rnacentral:tRNA from 1 species
UAUGAAGUGCCUGAUCAAAGGAAUAUUUUGAUAGAAUAGACAACAUGGACCCCCCCCAUCUUCAUAA